UCUGGGUCCAACCUCCCACCCGUGUUUAUUUUACCUUGUUGCUUCGGCGGGCCCGCCUUAACUGGCCGCCGGGGGGCUUACGCCCCCGGGCCCGCGCCCGCCGAAGACACCCUCGAACUCUGUCUGAAGAUUGUAGUCUGAGUGAAAAUAUAAAUUAUUUAAAACUUUCAACAACGGAUCUCUUGGUUCCGGCAUCGAUGAAGAACGCAGCGAAAUGCGAUACGUAAUGUGAAUUGCAAAUUCAGUGAAUCAUCGAGUCUUUGAACGCACAUUGCGCCCCCUGGUAUUCCGGGGGGCAUGCCUGUCCGAGCGUCAUUUCUGCCCUCAAGCACGGCUUGUGUGUUGGGCCCCGUCCUCCGAUCCCGGGGGACGGGCCCGAAAGGCAGCGGCGGCACCGCGUCCGGUCCUCGAGCGUAUGGGGCUUUGUCACCCGCUCUGUAGGCCCGGCCGGCGCUUGCCGAUCAACCCAAAUUUUUAUCCAGGUUGACCUCGGAUCAGGUAGGGAUACCCGCUGAACUUAAGCAUAUCAAUAAGCGGAGAA
rnacentral:rRNA from 1 species